rnacentral:rRNA from 1 species
GGUUGAUCCUGCCAGUAGCAUACGCUUGUCUCAAAGAUUAAGCCAUGCAUGUCUAAGUAUAAAUAACUCUAUACUGUGAAACUGCGAAUGGCUCAUUAUAUCAGUUAUAGUUUAUUUGAUAGUCCCUACUACUUGGAUAACCGUAGUAACUCUAGAGCUAAUACAUGCGCAAAAUCCCGACUGGUUCACGCCGGAAAGGACGUAUUUAUUAGAUCCAACCAGCCCGGUCUCGGCCGGAGUCCCUGGUGAGUCAUAAUAACUUCGCGAAUCGCAUGGCCUUGCGCCGGCGAUGG